CAUGAAGCUGAAUACCAUUUUAUGAGAACACAGGGUCGGGAAUUAGUUUUACUGAAGAAGAGAAGAAUCAUACAUUUGGAAAUAGUUGCUAUAUUAAAAAAGUACUAGUGUUCAGGCUGUGGUAGAAGAAAGGAACAAGAGCACUACAGUUUCCCCUCUGGGUGCCAGCAAACCAUCUUAGGAUUCAUUCUGAAUGUUUCAGUUUGACCCUGAGCAGAACUCGUUGACCUGGAAGCUGCAGCUCAUGGAAAACUUGCUUCUCUUUUGGAGAUCAACAAGCUGUUCACCUCUGCUAUGCUGCAAGGCUUAUUCGCUUUAUGGUCACUUCUCAAAUGUCUGUGAGAAGAUUAUCUGGGCUAUGUAUUAUAUGUGUCAUGYUUUUUAAAAAAGAAAUCCUUUUCUGACCUCAUUCCAUGUUCAUGGUCCCAUUCUUAAAAGGUAAAUAUACUAAACAGAAUGUGCUAGCAUUUACUGUGUGGGUGGAGGUUAUCUCUGCUUAACUUUAUUUGGGGAUCCUGUCCCCUCCUGUCACUGUUCUUGGAGAACUGGCCAUAUUUAUGCUUGAAAUCUGAUGCUAUAGCGUUACACAGGGUUUGGUGUCUAAAGUACUGUGAACACCYACAAUAUUGUGAAAGUCAUUGUGAUUUGGAAUGACUUAUUCUUGACCACUCUUUGCCCUCUCCACRGUGUAAUUAUUCCUGCUAUUCUCUUUUUUCCUAUUCUUUGUACCUCUGAGCAAUUGAUUUCUUUUGAUAGGAGGUUUGAUUGAUGCUGUCUUGGCUAGAUAUCAGGUUUUUGAAUUUUGUUUCAGCUCUUUGUACUUUGGUAAUUGUGUAGCACUUGAAUAUUAGAGGCGCC